rnacentral:lncRNA from 1 species
AGAAACCCCUGGGUUUGGCCAUUUUGGGACAAAAUACUGUUCCUUUCCCUUUCAUCAUCCUGGAAUCUCUCACCUUGUUUUGCUUCUCAACUUUGGCUGCCACUAACUGCAAAAGCGAUUUUUGAUUAGCUGGGGAUUUUCAAUGCAAGAGGGUUCUUCUGCAAGUCCUGGGAAAAGUUAGGGGUGCUUUACUCCCCAGAUAAGGUUCAGUAUAGCAUUUAGACCAGGCCCAGGCACCUUGAGAAGCAUUAAAAUUCUUAGUAGGUUAGCCUUAUUGUGCAAAACUGCAUGGCUUUAUACUCAUUGUAUGACAAAAGGGAAUGGCACCAACAGGUUAAAUUGUUGGUCUAUAAGAUCAGAUUCUGGUAACUGAGUUUACCCCAAAGUGCAGCAUCUGUUCCUCAUGGUUGUGCCAUGUGGAGACAGGGGUACUGCUUAUGUAACAACUGCUGCUCAUUGUGGAGUGUCACCCUGAAGCUACAUGGUAAGGACAACUCUGAUAAAAAAACCAAUAUUCUGUGAGAGUUUCAGAGCAGUCAUUAUCAUUUAAAAGAGCGAUAUCCUGUGAAAGCAAGUUCCCUUUUCACAGGUGCUCAUCACGUUUUCAUUUUUUGGCAGAACCAGCUCCUGUGACUAUAAUACCUCCAAAGCACUGCAGCCCAAGGGCUGAUGUCUAUUUUCUUUUGGCACUGGAUCAUCUCUCCCACAAGGAUCUGCACCAGGAGCUCCUAGGAAGCUGCUGCCCCUGCUUCACACAGUGGGCAGCUGAGAUGCCCAAUGGAUGGACAACCUUCUCUCAGCCUGGAGUGCUUCCCCACUGGGGACUUUUAACAUCAGCCCUGGGGAAUAGACACAGUAACAGCAAAGAGUCUCUGGUGUGCCACUACUGUGAUAUGUCCAAGCUGAGAGCCGCUGGCAAGCUGAUGAGUCUCCUGAUUAGGAGCUGGUAGUGAUCAGACCAUUUACUUGACCUUAAGACACCUUAAGACCUGGAGUAUUGUUAUGCUGCCACCUCUGAAAGGUACCAAAAGUACCUGAAAACAUUUGCUCAUCUAUAACCUGACAAUUAAAUAGCUGUAACAAAGUCUGGAGGUCCCUCCUGAUUUUCCAAAUGCUUGUGUGUUUUAUCAAUCCAAUGGGAAGAACAAGGAAGCAGAGAAGGGGCUUGAAUGUCUUAACUAAACUGGUGGAAGGCAUCCCCUCAGCUCUGCUAAGCU